rnacentral:rRNA from 1 species
GUACACGCUGUGACUAGCAUAUCAAUAAGCGGAGGAAAAGAAACUAACAAGGAUUCCCCUAGUAACGGCGAGUGAAGCGGGAAGAGCUCAAAUUUGAAAUCUUAAAGGGUUUCCCUUUACGAAUUGUAGGUUUAAAGAAGUGUUUUCUGUUGAGGUUUUGGUAAAAGUUCUUUGGAAUAGGACAUCAUAGAGGGUGAGAAUCCCGUAUUUGACCUUUACUUUCAACUUUGUGAUACACUUUCAAAGAGUCGGAUUGUUUGGGAAUGCAGUCCAAAAUGGGUGGUAAAUUUCAUCUAAAGCUAAAUAUUGGCGAGAGACCGAUAGCGAACAAGUACCGUGAGGGAAAGAUGAAAAGAACUUUGAAAAGAGAGUUAAACAGUACGUGAAAUUGUCAAAAGGGAAGCGUUUGACACCAGUGUUGUUUUUCUGAAAAUCAAUUAAAGAACUGUUUAUGCUAAGUUGUUUAGACUUUAUCAGCUAUCUGUUUAGUUUUAGGCUUUUCUUUAAUGCACUUUUCAGUUAACAAGUCAACAUCAAUUUCUUUUGCUGUAAAAAAGCUUGAGGAGGGUGGCUUGAGAUUCGUCUUAAGUGUUUAUAGCCUCUUGCCUAUGCAGUCGGAGAGGAUUGAGGUCUGCAGCGUAGAUCCUUCGGGGCUAAAUGCAUUUGUGCUAAGUUAUAGCAUUUUAUAGACAACUUGUUGACUAUGAUUUGUCUUGUAGCUUACUCGCUUAUGUUAUUUUACCUACGCUUAGGAUGUUGAGUCGUAGAGCACGCAG